CAAUAGCGUAUAUUAAAGUUGUUGCAGUUAAAAAGCUCGUAGUUGGAUUUCUGGUGGGGCUGUCGGCCUGGCUCCGAAAGGGGUCGGUGCUUGAACACGCCUGGCCAUCCUCGGGGGAAGCUUUGCUGGCAUUAGGUUGUCGGCGGAGUGACGCUCGUCGUUUACUGUGAACAAAUUAGAGUGUUCAAAGCAGGCUUAGGCCGUUGAAUACAUUAGCAUGGAAUAAUGAGAUAGGACUUUGGUGGUCUAUUUUGUUGGUUUGCACGCCGAAGUAAUGAUUAAUAGGGGCGGUUGGGGGUAUUCGUAUUCAAUUGUCAGAGGUGAAAUUCUUGGAUUUAUGGAAGACGAACUACUGCGAAAGCAUUUACCAAGGAUGUUUUCAUUAA
rnacentral:rRNA from 1 species